GCCGACUUAGCACAGCUGGUAGUGCAACGCACUCGUAACGCGUAGGUCGGGGGUUCGAGUCCCUUAGUCGGCACCA
rnacentral:tRNA from 1 species